AUGACCCCCUUGCUAAGCUUCCUCUUCUUAGCAGCUGUGUUAGCAGGUGUCUGGUCCGAAAUCCAGUUUGUCCAGUCUGGGGCAGAAAUCAAAAAGCCUGGAGAGUCUAUGAAACUGACCUGUAAAGCAUCCGGCUACACAUUUAAUGAGUACCGGAUGAGCUGGGUCCGACAGGCUCCCGGGAAAGGACUGGAGUGGGUGGCAUCCAUCAGGACAGAUACUUUCGAGACCUUCUAUCCCCAAAAUCUGAAAGGGCGAGCCACCAUCAGCGUGGACGUCCCCCUCAGCACAGCGUAUUUGCAAAUGAACGGCCUGAAAUCUGAAGACACCGCUGUGUAUUACUGUGCAAGGGGCACAUCCAUCCUCAGUGCACCUCAGAACUAG